rnacentral:rRNA from 1 species
UCCUGGCGUCACGGAUGAACGCUGGCGGCGUGCUUAACUCAUGCAAGUCGACGAAAGCACUUGCAGCAGGACUGGAGAGCUUGCUCAAAGGGAAGCAGCAUUUGACUGAGUGGCGGACGGGUGAGUAACGCGUGGAUAACCUGCCUCAGUACAGGGGGAUAACGAGUUGGAAACGGCUGUUAAUACCGCAUAAGCGCACGAAACCGCAUGGUUUUGUGUGAAAAACUCCGGUGGUAUGAGAUGGGUCCGCGUCUGAUUAGCUAGUUGGCAGGGUAACGGCCUACCAAGGCGACGAUCAGUAGCCGGCCUGAGAGGGUGUACGGUCACAUUGGGACUGAGACACGGCCCAAACUCCUACGGGAGGCAGCAGUGGGGAAUAUUGCACAAUGGGGGAAACCCUGAUGCAGCGACGCCGCGUGGGUGAAGAAGUAUUUCGGUAUGUAAAGCCCUAUCAGCAGGGAAGAAAAUGACGGUACCUGACUAAGAAGCCCCGGCUAACUACGUG